rnacentral:rRNA from 1 species
ACGCUCGACACCUACGGAGCCAGCAGUGGGGAAUAUUGGGCAAUGGGCGCAAGCCUGACCCAGCAACGCCGCGUGAGUGAUGAAGGUCUUCGGAUUGUAAAACUCUUUAAGCAGGGAAGAAGAAAGUGACGGUACCUGCAGAAUAAGCAUCGGCUAACUACGUGCCAGCAGCCGCGGUAAUCUGAGCGGGCUGGCAAGGC